UACGAGGGGAGCAAGCGUUGUUCGGAUUUACUGGGCGUAAAGGGCGCGUGGGCGGUCGUGACAAGUCACUUGUGAAAUCUCCGGGCUUAACUCGGAACGGUCAAGUGAUACUGUCGGACUAGAGUACAGAAGGGGCAACUGGAAUUCUCGGUGUAGCGGUGAAAUGCGUAGAUAUCGAGAGGAACACCUGCGGCGAAGGCGGGUUGCUGGGCUGAUACUGACGCUGAUGCGCGAAAGCCAGGGGAGCGAACGGG
rnacentral:rRNA from 1 species